UACCAGCAUCCCGAGUGGUCGGGACGUUUUAUUGGGCCUAAAGCAUCCGUAGCCGGUUCUACAAGUCUUCCGUUAAAUCCACCUGCUUAACAGAUGGGCUGCGGAAGAUACUAUAGAGCUAGGAGGCGGGAGAGGCAAGCGGUACUCGAUGGGUAGGGGUAAAAUCCGUUGAUCCAUUGAAGACCACCAGUGGCGAAGGCGGCUUGCCAGAACGCGCUCGACGGUGAGGGAUGAAAGCUGGGGGGAGCAAACCGG
rnacentral:rRNA from 1 species